GGGGAAUUUUGGACAAUGGGCGAAAGCCUGACGCAGCAACGCCGCGUGGGGGAUGAAUGCCUUCGGGUUGUAAACCCCUUUCAGCAGGAACGAAAUUGACGGUACCUGCAGAAGAAGCCCCGGCCAACUAUGUGCCAGCAGCCGCGGUAAUACGUAGGGGGCGAGCGUUGUCCGGAUUUAUUGGGCGUAAAGAGCUCGUAGGCGGCUUAGCAAGUCGGAUGUGAAAACUUCAGGCUCAACCUGGAGAUGGCAUUUGAUACUGCCAUGGCUAGAGUCCGGUAGGGGACCACGGAAUUCCUGGUGUAGCGGUGAAAUGCGCAGAUAUCAGGAGGAACACCGGUGGCGAAGGCGGUGGUCUGGGCCGGCACUGACGCUGAGGAGCGAAAGCGUGGGGAGCAAA
rnacentral:rRNA from 1 species